rfam:Trichinella nativa scaffold226s, whole genome shotgun sequence.
UGCCUCUCGUUCUUCUGCAAGCCGCACAAAUCUUUCGCCUUUUACUGAAGACUUCCGUGCAGAAGAGCAGAAAUGAGUACAGAGACCCAAUUUUUGUAGCCCCAAUGGGCUU